GAUAAACGCUGGCGGCGCACAUAAGACAUGCAAGUCGAACGAACUUAACCAUUAGUUUACUAUUGGAGCGGUUAGUGGCGGACUGGUGAGUAACACGUAAGCAACCUGCCUAUCAGAGGGGAACAACAGUUAGAAAUGACUGCUAAUACCGCAUAUGCCUUGAGUAUCACAUGGUACAAAAGGGAAGGAGCAAUCCGCUGAUAGAUGGGCUUGCGUCUGAUUAGAUAGUUGGUGAGGUAACGGCCCACCAAGUCGACGAUCAGUAGCCGGACUGAGAGGUUGAACGGCCACAUUGGGACUGAGAUACGGCCCAGACUCCUACGGGAGGCAGCAGUCGGGAAUAUUGCGCAAUGGAGGAAACUCUGACGCAGUGACGCCGCGUGCAGGAAGAAGGUUUUCGGAUUGUAAACUGCUUUAGACAGGGAAGAAACAAGACAGUACUCAACAAGGAAGUGACGGCUAACUACGUGCCAGCAGCC
rnacentral:rRNA from 1 species